rnacentral:lncRNA from 1 species
GGGAAUCAUCUACUGGUUCGGUAGCAGAAGCUGCAAAGAAUUCAUGGAAGAACGAGCAAAGAGAUCAGAAAUGACAGUAUGGCCAAAAUGAAGCAAUGAACUCACAUUGAAGCAAAACAGAAGCUAAAGAAAAUGCAGCAUCUUCAGCAUAAGAAAAUCUGCAGAGGAAUAUGUUUUCAGAAAUGAGCUUUGUAAGUUCUACCUGGUGAAAACUAGACUCAGGUUAAUGUACUUUCUCCCUUUGUUAAAAAGUUAAUACUUGGUGAUAUCAUAUCAUAGGAAUUCUAUACAAGUUCCAGCUCUCAAGUUUUUGACCAUCUGGGCUAUCAUUUCUUUGUAAUUUUUGUGGUGUCUGUAGUUUUUUCCUUUUUCUGUUUCAUGUAAUGAAUAAGUUAAGUUUUAGUUGAUCAUACUGUUCAAUGGAUGAUAUAAGCUUUUUGUUUUGUGUAUCACUAGCUAGCUUCAAUCAACUAAGACAACAGGGUGGCCAACCUCUUGGAUUACGACAUGGUUAAAAUUUGCUGCCCUUGAAGAGUCGGGGGCUAUUCGAUUUCUAAACAACCUUGUUGCCUGCUGUAUAUAUGAGAGUACAAUAGUAGUACAUGAUGCUAGGUUGUCACUGUGCGAGAAUCAUUCUUAAUAAGCUCGCCACAAAAGAUGCAAUCUGCAUUUUCUUUUCUCCUUCAACAGGAUCAUGUGCAUGGUCAAGUGUCCUACUUUCCAUGACCGUAGCUCGAAAACAUUAUUGUACCUUGCACAUAUGAUCCAAUUUUCAAUUCAAUUUGUAAUAGCUGAUCUGAAGAAAAGUAACUGAUGCAGCUGCUGGUCUCUCAUCUGCAUAAUGUCAAAGAAACAGGCUACUGGUUUCUCCUUCAAUGGUGCCUGGUUCAUGUUCCAGUACUGAAGUCUGGUGGAUGAUUCAUGAUUAGAGCGUGAGUAACGGCUCUGAUGGUUCCUGGAUCAUUCUGAGUUUAACUUAGGUUGGCUUGGAUUGUCAUGUGUGCUGUCUGACAGACUUAAACUCCUUUUUUUUGCCUCUUUUCACUGCAGACUCACCAUUCAGUUAGCUACACUCAUGCAAAAAAUCUCAGUUGCUGCAGGUACCAUACUAGGGAAGAAUCGAAGGCCGAGUCAUUCUAGUGUGGAGUUCGAGAGGGUAGAACUGCUCGAUGGAAGUUUUUGUCAUGGCUGCCUCUGCGCGUAGUGCUGCAAGUAUGUAUCAGUACAUAAUAGUGUUGGUUUUCAAUGUGAAGAUAAAUCAUUUGGUUCAUCUGAUGCUCUUUUGAGUUUUGAGCCGUAACAAGUUGAUGUAGGGGUUAGCUAUCUAUCCAUAAGGGGAAGUUAAUCUUCGAGCUACAAUCAUUUACUCGAGGAUUAAUCAUACCUUUGAAGCUAGCUAUCCAUAAGGGGAAGUAACUCAAUUAUGCUGUAAUGCUGCCAGAGACAUUGUCACUCCAGUUCUGCAGCUAAAGCAACUGCUAUUUUCUCUGCCACCACUCUUAUCUCUUUAAACUUCAGAAUAGUGAUGCCCUGUGCAGUUUUUUACAUUGAUGUUUGUUGUGGUUUGAACAUAAUGGAUGGGUAACAUUUUAAGGUCUCCCCAAAUUAGAGGCCCUUACUCAAUGACUCUUAGUUGAACAGUUGUUUUGAUUUACAAUUAAGUUGGUAUACAUAAAUUUUUUAUGUUUCAAUUUUGUUGAUCAAUUCCGUAGGUUAACAUCACUCUUAAAGAUGGCUGAGAUUGUAAUAAACUAGGAGCGUAACAGUACACACAACACACAUCAUCGAAUCCAACAUGGACAUAUCAUUCAACGAUUCCUUCCUUAGAUGUCUACUGGUUCACAGUGAAUAGAAACACACGGUCGAUGUGUUGGUUAGGAAGUGAAGCAAGCAGAGAGAUACUCACAACAGAAGCUAAUUGAGGCAGUUUCCAACUAAUAUGUCUGACAGCAGAGUGUUCCAGUGAAGUCACAUGCGAGUAGAAGGAAUGUGACCCGCAUCUUCUGGCGAAGCAGCUGAAAGUAGCUAGGCGUGCUGCCGUGUUCGAGUUGAUCAGUCUUAACAAGUUUGCCUGCUAUUUGACAUAUCAAGAAGAAAG